rnacentral:rRNA from 1 species
AUGGAGUCGGUGGAGGCGCUCGUGGCGCACAUCCAGGGUCUCUCCGGGAGCCCGGACGAGCUGGCGCAGCUCCACGGCCUCCUCAAGCAGGCCGACGGCGACGCCCUGCGCGUCCACUCCGCCGGCCUCCUGNNNNNNNNNNNNNNNNNNNNNNNNNNNNNNNNNNNNNNNNNNNNNNNNNNNNNNNNGGAUUCUUUCGUGUCGUCGUCUGCUAAUCUGAGGGCGCACGCCGGCGGGGACCUUCUUGUGACCGUGGCCGAUUUCCUCACCUCUUGCUCGGCCGACCAGAUACGCAUGGCGCCCGACAAAUUUUUGAAUGUCUGUAGGGUGCUCAAGAACGAGGUCAUGCAGCUCAAUGCGCCGAUCCGAGGGAUUGCUCCGCUUCGGGCUGCUGUCCGCAAGAUCCAGACAUCGUCAGAGCAGCUUACCCCACUCCACGCUGAAUACCUGAUGCUGUGCCUGCUGGCCAAGCAGUACAAGGCUGGCCUGAGCGUCCUGGAAGACGAUAUAUUUGAAGUUGAUCAGCCCAAGGACUUGUUCCUUUACUGCUACUACGGGGCGAUGAUAUACAUUGGGCUGAAGAAGUUCCGUAAAGCAUUGGAGCUUCUUCACAAUGCUGUUACUGCCCCAAUGUCGUCAUUGAAUGCAAUUACUGUCGAGGCUUACAAGAAGUAUGUCCUAGUUUCACUCAUUCAGAGUGGACAGGUUCCGUCAUUCCCCAAGUACACAUCUUCGACUGCUCAAAGGAAUCUGAAAAAUCACACUCAGAUUUACGUUGAUCUGUCUACAUGCUAUGGUACUGGUAGCUACUCUGAUUUGGAAACAUUCAUCCAGUCAAAUGCAGAGGCCUUCCAAACUGAUAACAACUUUGGACUAGUGAAGCAAGUGCUCUCUUCAAUGUACAAGCGAAACAUCCAGAGGCUGACCCAGACCUACUUAACUCUUUCACUUGAAGACAUUGCCAGCUCUGUUCAACUUAACACCCCGAAAGAAGCUGAGAUGCAUGUACUUAGGAUGAUUGAAGAUGGUGAGAUCCAUGCAACGAUAAACCAGAAGGAUGGCAUGGUCAGCUUUAAUGAAGAUCCCGAGCAAUAUAAAAGUAGUGAGAUGGUGGAGCACAUCGACUCUUCUAUUCAAAGGUUGAUGGCUUUGUCCAAGAAGCUGACCUCAAUUGAUCAGAACAUCUCGUGCGAUCAUGCAUUUUUGAUGAAGAGUGGAAGGGAACGUGCAAGAUUCGACUAUGAUGACUUUGACUCGGUUCCACACAAAUAUUUUUGA